rnacentral:rRNA from 1 species
GACAGAGGAUGCAAGCGUUAUCCGGAAUGAUUGGGCGUAAAGCGUCUGUAGGUGGCUUUUUAAGUCCGCCGUCAAAUCCCAGGGCUCAACCCUGGACAGGCGGUGGAAACUACCAAGCUGGAGUACGGUAGGGGCAGAGGGAAUUUCCGGUGGAGCGGUGAAAUGCGUAGAGAUCGGGAAGAACACCCGUGGCGAAGGCGGCACUCUGGGACGGUACUGACGCUGAGACGCGAAAGCGUGGGGAGCGAACAGG